GGGCGAAGCCAGAGGAAACUCUGGUGGA
rnacentral:piRNA from 6 species